UUAAAAAAUGUAUUUUUAUUAUGGAUGUGAGCUUUUCUUAUCUCCUUUUCUGAAACUUAUGGGGAGCUCUGGAUUGCACUGCCAACUCAUCGUGGGAACUUCUGGUAGGAGAGCAGCUUCUCAAGGAGUAAUCUUCUGUAAAUCUGCAAAAACAGCAAAUAGGUCUUGUAUUCAAUUGCCUCUCAGUGGGAAGUAAACGGAGUCAAGAGUGUUUUUCUUCGUUACUCUGAAUGUCUACUGUCCUUUAUUUGUGAAAGUAAAGAUAAGGAUGCUGUAACAUAGUAUUUGGAGGAAAACAUAGAAUAAGACUGCUCCCUUUCACAGCAGCCCAAUCCCAAGCUGAAGAAGAAGCAUCUGGCACAAUAGAAAUUGUCACACCACAAGGCUGCAACUUCGACUGGUGAGACAAGGCUUCCCUUGGAUGUGCAGAUCACAGAGAAGAGACUGUUUAAAAGGACACUGCAGCUACAAGGCAGUGGCACAGCCAUGCUGUUGCAGGCGAUGAGGAGCCUCAAUCUGCGGGAACCAAAGGCAAAGAGAAACACACUCCCCUGGUGCUAAACUCAUUGUGUGUGUGGCCAGAGCAACCUUUGCCUAUUAUAUUUUGAGAGGAAAUCCCUUAAACACACUGCCUGCUCAAGUCCAAGGCCGGUGACACUAGUGGGGGUUCCCCAGGUCACGUCUCAUAAUGGGGAGGUGGUCAGAAAGGAGGGGUGCUGGAUCAGAAGGUGGUUGCUCGUGGGCUGCUGUCACAGCUCCCGGUUGAUCCCUCCAACAGCUUUGGUCCAGGUGCUCUCCAAAAGCACAGUCCUCUUCACCACAGCCUUUGCUCUUUACUUAUUGACUCCUCUUGACAGUGGCUCUUUGAUUUCAGGAGGCCGAGCGGAAGGAGAGGCAGAGGAAGGCUGGAGAGGAAUGGGAACUCUUCAGCACAGGAGGUGGACCGUGUUUCUUUCAUCUUUACCAAAGAGGAAGGAAAAAGCCUCAGGAGGGUAUUCCCAGGGAGGAAGUAAUUCCCUUUUCUUCCACCCAGCAGGAGGGUGCAUCCUACCUUCAGCUCUCUGCUCCCUGGCUCCCCAGGCCAGCGGGGUUACAUGCUGCCAGUUCUGACCACACCACCCCAGAACUCCUCCAUGCUGAGCAGAUUUAAAGGUCCUCACAGCCCCUUUGGGAUUUUAACAAGACUCACCACCCACUGCAGACUCUGUGGGAUGAGCUGGGGAUCGACACAUGAGCUCCCCAGCAUGUGCAAGCACGCCAGCUUUGGGUGCUGGGACCCUGCCUCAUGUUGUCAUUCUCAUUUUCUGAAUAGUAAAA